rnacentral:rRNA from 1 species
GAUGAACGCUGGCGGCGUGCCUAAUACAUGCAAGUCGAGCGAACAGACGAGGAGCUUGCUCCUCUGACGUUAGCGGCGGACGUGUGAGUCACACGUGUAUAACCUACCUAUAAGACUGGGAUAACUUCGGGAAACCGGAGCUUAUACCGGAGAAUAUAUUGAACCGCAUGGUUCAAUAGUGAAAGACGGUUUUGCGGUCACUUAUAGAUGGAUCCGCGCCGCAUUAGCUAGUUGGUAAGUUAACGGCUUACCAAGGCAACGAUGCGUAGCCGACCUGAGAGGGUGAUCGGCGACACUGGAACUGAGACACGGUCAAGACUCCUACGGGAGGCCGCAGUAGGGAAUCUUACGCAAUGGGCGAAAGCUUGACGGAGCAACGCCGCGUGAGAGAUGAAGGUCUUCGGAUCGUAAAACUCUGUUAUUAGGGAAGAACAAAUGUGUAAGUAACUAUGCACGUAUUGACGGUAACUAAUAAGAAAGCAACGGCUAACUACGUG